rnacentral:rRNA from 1 species
GAUAAACGCUGGCGGCGUGCCUAAUACAUGCAAGUCGAGCGAACGGACGAGAAGCUUGCUUCUCUGAUGUUAGCGGCGGACGGGAGAGUAACACGUGGAUAACCUACCUAUAAGACUGGGAUAACUUCGGGAAACCGGAGCUAAUACCGGAUAAUAUUUUGAACCGCAUGGUUCAAAAGUGAAAGACGGUCUUGCUGUCACUUAUAGAUGGAUCCGCGCUGCAUUAGCUAGUUGGUAAGGUAACGGCUUACCAAGGCAACGAUGCAUAGCCGACCUGAGAGAGUGAUCGGCCACACUGGAGCUGGGACGCGGUCCAGACUCCUACGGGAGGCAGCAGUAGGGAAUCUUCCGCAAUAGGCGAAAGCCUGACGGAGCAACGCCGCGUGAGUGAUGAAGGUCUUCGGAUCGUAAAACUCUGUUAUUAGGGAAGAACAUAUGUGUAAGUAACUGUGCACAUCGUGACGGUACCUAAUCAGAAAGCCACGGCUAACUACGUG